rnacentral:rRNA from 1 species
GACGAACGCUGGCGGCGUGCCUAAUACAUGCAAGUAGAACGCUGAAGAGAGGAGCUUGCUCUUCUUGUAUGAGUUGCGAACGGGUGAGUAACGCGUAGGUAACCUGCCUUGUAGCGGGGGAUAACUAUUGGAAACGAUAGCUAAUACCGCAUAACAAUGGAUGACACAUGUCAUUUAUUUGAAAGGGGCAAUUGUUCCACUACAAGAUGGACCUGGGUUGUAUUAGCUAGUAGGUGAGUUAAUGGCCUACCUAGGCGACGAUACAUAGCCGACCAGAGAGGGUGAUCGGCCACACAGAGACUGCAAAGCAGCCCAGACUCAUAAGAGAGGCAGCAGUAGGGAAUCUUAGGCAAUGGGGGCAAGCCUGACCGAGCAACGCAGCGUGAGUGAAGAAGGUUUUCGGAUCGUAAAGCUCGGUUGUAAGUCAAGAACGGGUGUGAGAGUGGAAAGUUCACACUGUGGCGGUAGCUUAACAGAAAGGGACGGCUAACUACGUG